rnacentral:rRNA from 1 species
CAGUAGCCGCGGUAAUACGAAGGGGGCUAGCGUUGCUCGGAAUGACUGGGCGUAAAGGGCGCGUAGGCGGUUUGUACAGUUGGAUGUGAAAUUCCUGGGCUUAACCUGGGGGCUGCAUUCAAUACGUGCAGGCUUGAGUGUGGAAGAGGGUUGUGGAAUUCCCAGUGUAGAGGUGAAAUUCGUAGAUAUUGGGAAGAACACCGGUGGCGAAGGCAGCCCCCUGGGCCAAUACUGACGCUCAUGCACGAAAGCGUGGGGAGCAAACAGGAUUAGAUACCCCAGUAGUCCCUGUCUCUUAUAC